CGGCUGGUGCUGACCCCCGGGGUAGGAGGCGCUGGCGGCGGCGGCGGCGGCGGAGGAGGAGGAAGAAGAAGAAGAAGAAGAAGAAGGGGAAGGCGGUCCGGGGGAGAAAGGACUGCGGGAAUGCGGGAGGGACACGCUGCCCGGCGGCUCCCGGCGCCGCCCCGGCGGUCCGGCGCGUAGCUCCACCGGGGCGAGCGCAACCCCCCGAGCGACCGGCGCCGCUCCCCGCCGCCCGCCCGGAGGAUGGCGGCUGCACCCUCCCCGCCGGGAGGCCUGGCGGCUCCUAGGGUCCUGAAACGCGUUUUUAUCUUGUCGGUGUCGGAGACCCAGCCCGGCUUUACACAUAUCUUGAGGGACUUCGGGACGCCGGUUUAAAGUUAAAAGGAGAAAUCACCUCCCCUUCCCUGACUGUGAAGACAGCCUUUGCCACAGCAGAAGGACAUCCAAGAACAACAGGAAUGUCUGAUGAAAACCACUGUGUAGCACCAUGAAUUUAAAUCAAGACAUACAUUGCAGAGUGCAAAUGGCUGGAGAUGCAGAAAAAAAGAAAGAUGGAUGUAAGAAGAAUAUUGGACAAUGAUCCAUGAACUGCAAUUCUUCACAGUUAAAUAUAUUCUGUGACUUACUAGUUUUCCCUUAUAAGAAAUGGGAAUGAAUGUUAUUUUCCAUUUUAGACUAAUUGUAUAGCAAUUACUCAUGUUUUUGCUUCUUGUGCAGGGGGCAAACUAUGCAAAAUUAUUUUAAAGAUAUAUUCAAAAUUGCUAUUAAAAGUGCUUCAACAUGCAAA